GAGGGGCAGCAUGGUCUUAGCUUGCUAAGGCCGAUGGCGACCGGCGCACGGGUGAGUAACACGUAUCCAACCUGCCGUCUACUCUUGGACAGCCUUCUGAAAGGAAGAUUAAUACAAGAUGGCAUCAUGAGUUCACAUGUUCACAUGAUUAAAGGUAUUCCGGUAGACGAUGGGGAUGCGUUCCAUUAGAUAGUAGGCGGGGUAACGGCCCACCUAGUCUUCGAUGGAUAGGGGUUCUGAGAGGAAGGUCCCCCACAUUGGAACUGAGACACGGUCCAAACUCCUACGGGAGGCAGCAGUGAGGAAUAUUGGUCAAUGGGCGAGAGCCUGAACCAGCCAAGUAGCGUGAAGGAUGACUGCCCUAUGGGUUGUAAACUUCUUUUAUAAAGGAAUAAAGUCGGGUAUGCAUACCCGUUUGCAUGUACUUUAUGAAUAAGGAUCGGCUAACUCCGUGCCAGCAGCCGCGGUAAUACGGAGGAUCCGAGCGUUAUCCGGAUUUAUUGGGUUUAAAGGGAGCGUAGAUGGAUGUUUAAGUCAGUUGUGAAAGUUUGCGGCUCAACCGUAAAAUUGCAGUUGAUACUGGAUAUCUUGAGUGCAGUUGAGGCAGGCGGAAUUCGUGGUGUAGCGGUGAAAUGCUUAGAUAUCACGAAGAACUCCGAUUGCGAAGGCAGCCUGCUAAGCUGCAAC
rnacentral:rRNA from 1 species